rnacentral:lncRNA from 1 species
ACAAUUUAAUGAACAAACUUAUUGAAACCAAAGAAUAAAACAUUCCUACUACUUUGUACAUAUAAUAAUAUGCACCAUAAUCAUAGAUGUACACUUUUCCCACAAUUAUUUACUUCUUUACUUGUCUGCGCAGAAAUAUUCAAUUUCUUUUCCUCUCUCUGUUUCAAACCCCUUCAAAAAAAAGGGAGAAUCAGCCCCUAGAAAAUUCCUAUCCUAAAUAACAUAAUAUUUUCUUUCACUUCCACCUCAUUUCUAUGGUUUCAAGUAACAAUACCCAACCAAUACCAAUUGAAUAAAAUCUUAUUCCACAAAACCACAGAACAAGAAAAGGAUAUACAGCAUGAAGAAGAAGCCUUUGUCUGCCCAUACAAAAGAAAGCAUAUAUCGUCCAAAAGAAGUCACAAGAGCAUUAGUAGAUGACAAAAGUCAAUAAGUGAAGAACCCCAUUUUUUGUCUGAUCACACAAAACAAUUACAAAUUCAACUAGUAUUGGAUAAAAGACCACUAAAAUACCACUCAAACGCAAAGGUUGUAUAAAUCACAAAGCAUAAUAAAAUACACUGGAACAAGCAAAGGUUGUCAAAAGGUGCAGUAGAAUUUAUUCCACAACUUGGAAAAUUGAGAGUUUGGGACCAUAACUACCCAAGUUGACCAUCCCACAAACUAGAAUAUUUCCAUAUGAGUAACUAAGGCUUAAGGGGUGCUCCCACCAGAAAGCGUACU